rnacentral:misc_RNA from 1 species
CUACGAUGCCGCUAAAACAACAACAAUUUUCCUACUCUUUUCAGUAUUUUUGACAUUUAGAAGCAGGAACAGAGACAUAUUGUACAGGAGAAUAUUGAUCUGGAUUCCUGUGAAUUUGUCAGUUGUUAAAAAUGAGGAGUGAUGUCGAGGCAGGUCAGUGUAUAGUGCACUGCUGUUUGAGGAAUGAUUUCUAUAUGUUGCGUGAUCUUCUCGAUGAAGGUGGAGACCCUAACACCCGUGAUAGACGGGGUCGAACAGGUCUUCACAUCGCUGCAUCGAAGAAUGAUACUGAGAUGAUGCAGGUGUUGUUAGACCAUAAUGCAGAGUUGAAUGUGCUAGACUGCCAAGGGAAUACUGUUAUGCAUUACUGUGGACAUGAGGAGAGCAUACAACUUCUGGUGGAUUACGCUGCUGGUUCCCAGGUCCAUAUGAAGAACUUUGGGGGUGCCACACCUGUUACUCUAGCCAAACGAAGAGGAAUAUCUGACCACAUAAUUGAAAUAUUAGAGAAUUUAAAAAACACAAGUGAACCAAUUCCUGAUAAACGUUACUUUCCUCCACCCGCAGCUCCAGUGGCGCCACCUAGACUUGAACUUCCAGCUCAUCCAGAGCCUGAAGAUCAAGCAGAUCCGCCUAGUGCUUUUGACAAUAUAAAAAAUGCGUGGUUUGAAUUCUGUACAGACUUAGGACCAGAGAAGUUGGCAUGUUUAUUAGUACUGGCAGUGUUUGUGUCGCUGUAUGUCGCAUAUGCUGUAUCAACAUAUUCUAAAAGACUUGUGCAAGAUACAAGAAUUCCUGUUCCUGUAUCGGAUGAUAAUUUCAGUGAACAUAUAGAGCUUUGAAUAUUAUUAAAUUUAAUAGAGAGGGGUACAUUUUUUGUAAUUCUGUGAUGUAGGAAAUGUUGUGCAUUUGACAUGAAGAUUUUCAAUUCAAUUAUAUACCAGUCCAGACAAUCUACCUUCAAAUUACUGGGUGUCCCAAAAAAUUAUACCCAAUUGAAACAGGAAUAUCUCUUUUUUCCUUCAUCGAAAAAAGCUGAACUUUUAACAUGGUAAAGAGAAUCCAUUUUUUAAUAAGCAGUAAAAAGUUUAUAGGGAAUAUUACUUACUGAGAACUUCUAGAGACAUUUUAGAAGACAAUUAUACUCAAAAUGAUCUCCAUCAUGAUUGUUGACGAGCAUGUGAACAUUAUUCCAAACAUGAGAAAUAAUAUAAUUAUAACUUUCGGGACACCCAGUAAUUAAUAUAUAAUAGCCUGAUGUGAUCAAAGUUUUAUUUAUAACAGUAAUGGCUGUGCCUGUAUCACCAUAAUUCUUGUUAUUAUCUCACAGUGUCUAACUACGAUAUAUUAUAAAACAAGUAUUUACAGUUAACAAUUUUAACAUUUUAAAACAUAUUACGAGAGUUUCUCGUAAUGACACCAUGCAAAGUAAGGCUUAAUUCCAGGUAUGUUGCUCUCAAAUAAAUGCCCAUGGGCAGUUUAUAUCUUAGGUCCAUCAAUACAAGAAACUCUAGUGGUUUGUUUCCUAAUGUUGCUUUUAGGGAGCUCAACGUGAAAGUAGCGACUUUAGCAUAUACAGUGCGACCAAACUGAGGAGAAUUCUGUUUUGGGGUAAUAGCAAAAUUUGUGUGUGUGAUCCCAUCAUUUAUACCCCAUUAUUUAUAUUUCAAACCAAAAAAUGGUUGCAUGACUGGAAAUUGCAAAGCAUAGAUGCAUUUAUUUGACCAGAAGUAAUUUGGAAUUUGAAAUUGUACUGCUGUUAGUUUUUUGGCUCACAUGGAAUUGCCCACUUGUCAGUCAGUCUGCUAGUGAGCCAUGUUUGGCUAAUAGAUCUAUUUAAUGGUGGUUCAUACUAAUAAUUUACACCAUAAGUCCUGGCUUUGUUUGCCUUGUUUUGAAGAAAUCAGCUUUUCACCAUGUGAGGCUAAAAGGUGCCAUUUUUGAAGAUAACGAU